rnacentral:rRNA from 1 species
GACGAACGCUGGCGGCGUGCCUAAUACAUGCAAGUAGAACGCUGAAGGAGGAGCUUGCUCUUCUGGAUGAGUUGCGAACGGGUGAGUAACGCGUAGGUAACCUGCCUGGUAGCGGGGGAUAACUAUUGGAAACGAUAGCUAAUACCGCAUAACAGUAGAUGUUGCAUGACAUUUACUUAAAAGGUGCAAUUGCAUCACUACCAGAUGGACCUGCGUUGUAUUAGCUAGUUGGUGGGGUAACGGCUCACCAAGGCGACGAUACAUAGCCGACCUGAGAGGGUGAUCGGCCACACUGGGACUGAGACACGGCCCAGACUCCUACGGGAGGCAGCAGUAGGGAAUCUUCGGCAAUGGACGGAAGUCUGACCGAGCAACGCCGCGUGAGUGAAGAAGGUUUUCGGAUCGUAAAGCCCUGUUGUAAGAGAAGAACGAGUGUGAGAGUGGAAAGUUCACACUGUGACGGUAUCUUACCAGAAAGGGACGGCUAACUACGUG